ACGAGUGGCGGACGGGUGAGUAAUGUCUGGGAAACUGCCUGAUGGAGGGGGAUAACUACUGGAAACGGUAGCUAAUACCGCAUAACGUCGCAAGACCAAAGAGGGGGACCUUCGGGCCUCUUGCCAUCGGAUGUGCCCAGAUGGGAUUAGCUAGUAGGUGGGGUAAAGGCUCACCUAGGCGACGAUCCCUAGCUGGUCUGAGAGGAUGACCAGCCACACUGGAACUGAGACACGGUCCAGACUCCUACGGGAGGCAGCAGUGGGGAAUAUUGCACAAUGGGCGCAAGCCUGAUGCAGCCAUGCCGCGUGUAUGAAGAAGGCCUUCGGGUUGUAAAGUACUUUCAGCGGGGAGGAA
rnacentral:rRNA from 1 species